rnacentral:lncRNA from 1 species
GGGGUGGCUGCUGCCCGGGGUCGGCGAUUGCCUCCUGGGUUGCUGGGUGGCGGGGUGUGGCUGUGGGUUGCUCCGUCGGCCCUUGCGGGUCCUUGGCUUGGCUCCCUGGGGCGCACCUUUGCUAGGGAUGUCGCUUGCGCGACGAGCUAGGCGGGGCCCCCUCGGGGGCUUUUUGUACGACCGCAAUGGCCGGGGUGUGGACGUUAUGGCUAGGGGGUGGGGUGAGGGGUGCUAUGGGGCCUCCCCGGGGGUCGUAUUGGGCGGGUGUGCGGGGGCGCGGCGCGUGGUUCCUGGCCCGGUGGAUCCGCGUUGGGAUUGGCUGGUCUGCUGGCUGGGUGCACCGGGCGCCGUGGGCGCGAUUCCGGGGCGGGGGUGCCCCGGGGGCGGAUCCUUGGGCUACGUGUCCGGGGAGGUGCUCUCCGGCCAUCUGCCCGGGGACCGGCCGCGGCUCGUGGCGGCGCUGCGCAGCCUUGGGCGGGGCGGGGCUGGUGGCCUUGGGCCCGCUGUUGUUUGGGGUGUGCUGGCGUCGGGGGGGUGUCUCGUGCCGGUGCGUGGGUCGUCGGGGAUUGCCUCCGUGGGGGGGGGGGGGCUCUAUUGGCGCCGUUGGUGUGGGGGGGCGGUUCCGGGCUGGGGGUGCUUCGGUACUCUGGCUUGCCGGUCCGUGGCUGGCGGGAUGGCCCUGCUUGGCGGUGGAUGGCGUCCUCUCUCGUCGGGGGGGCCGGGGCCGCCUCCCGGUGGAGAGUGUUGUAUCGUGGCGCCGGGUGGGCCUGUGCUGGCCCUGGUGCGGGCAUGGGCCUCCCCCCCGCUCGGCCGCUCCCCUUGGUGGCGGGGUGGCGUUGCUCCGGGCCGGCGGGCGGCGGGGGUCGCCCCCUGGGGCGCCGGGGGAUGUUGUUGGUGCCUGGCUGUGCCCGGGGGUGGGGGGUGUCGCCGUGCUCCGCGGGGCCGGCGUGGUCUGGGGGGUGCCGUGGGGGGGGGGUCUCCGGCUGUGCUGUUCCGGGGCCCGCAGUGCCACUUGCCCGUCUGCGCCAUCUACCCUCUCGCGUGGCCCGCCACGCGGACGGGCCCGGCUCACACUGGACAGGCC